rnacentral:rRNA from 1 species
AACGAACGCUGGCGGCAGGCUUAACACAUGCAAGUCGAACGAUUAAAGCUCUCUUCGGAGAGUGCAUAGAGUGGCGCACGGGUGAGUAACACGUAAGUAAUCUACCCUCGAGUGGGGAAUAACGUCCGGAAACGGGCGCUAAUACCGCAUAAUGCAGCGGCAUCAUAAGAUGACAGUUGUUAAAGAUUUAUCGCUUGAGGAGGAGCUUGCGGCAGAUUAGCUAGUUGGUAAGGUAACGGCUUACCAAGGCUACGAUCUGUAACCGGUCUUAGAGGACGGUCGGUCACACUGACACUGAAUAACGGGUCAGACUCCUACGGGAGGCAGCAGUCGGGAAUUUUGGGCAAUGGGCGAAAGCCUGACCCAGCAACGCCGCGUGAAGGAUGAAGUAUUUCGGUAUGUAAACUUCGAAAGAAUAGGAAGAAUUAAUGACGGUACUAUUUAUAAGGUCCGGCUAACUACGUGCCAGCCGCCGCAGUAACAC